rnacentral:rRNA from 1 species
AAUACGUUCCCGGGCCUUGUACACACCGCCCGUCACACCACGAGAGUUUGUAACACCCGAAGUCGGUGAGGUAACCUUUUGGAGCCAGCCGCCUAAGGUGGGAUAGAUGAUUGGGGUGAAGUCGUAACAAGGUAGCCGUAUCGGAAGGUGCGGCUGGAUCACCUCCUUUCUAAGGAA